rnacentral:tRNA from 1 species
UCAGUGGCUGAGUGGAUAAUGCGGUGGCGUUUGGAGCGAACGAUGCUGGGAUCGAUUCCCAGAGUGA